CAGUAGCCACGGUAAUACGAAGGGUGCAAGCGUUAAUCGGAAUUACUGGGCGUAAAGCGUGCGUAGGCGGUUUGUUAAGUCUGUUGUGAAAUCCCCGGGCUCAACCUGGGAAUGGCAAUGGAUACUGGCGAGCUAGAGUGUGUCAGAGGAUGGUGGAAUUCCCGGUGUAGCGGUGAAAUGCGUAGAGAUCGGGAGGAACAUCAGUGGCGAAGGCGGCCAUCUGGGACAACACUGACGCUGAGGCACGAAAGCGUGGGGAGCAAACAGGAUUAGAUACCCCCGUAGUCCCUGUCUCUUAUAA
rnacentral:rRNA from 1 species